AGAGUUUGAUCCUGGCUCAGAUUGAACGCUGGCGGCAGGCUUAACACAUGCAAGUCGAGCGGUAACAGAGAGUAGCUUGCUACUCUGCUGACGAGCGGCGGACGGGUGAGUAAUACUUGGGAAUCUGCCUUUUGGAGGGGGAUAACCACUGGAAACGGUGGCUAAUACCGCAUAAUGCUUUCGAGCCAAAGCGGGGGAUCUUCGGACCUCGCGCCAUUAGAUGAGCCCAAGCAAGAUUAGGUAGUUGGUGGGGUAAAGGCCUACCAAGCCGACGAUCUUUAGCUGGUCUGAGAGGAUGAUCAGCCACACUGGGACUGAGACACGGCCCAGACUCCUACGGGAGGCAGCAGUGGGGAAUAUUGGACAAUGGGCGCAAGCCUGAUCCAGCCAUGCCGCGUGUGUGAAGAAGGUCUUAGGAUUGUAAAGCACUUUCAGUGGUGAGGAAGGCCUAAUAGUUAAUAGCUAUUAGGAUUGACGCUAGCCACAGAAGAAGCACCGGCUAACUCCGUGCCAGCAGCCGCGGUAAUACGGAGGGUGCGAGCGUUAAUCGGAAUUACUGGGCGUAAAGCGCACGUAGGCGGUUUGUUAAGCUAGAUGUGAAAGCCCCGGGCUUAACCUGGGAAUUGCAUUUAGAACUGGCAGGCUAGAGUUUUGAAGAGGGUGGUAGAAUUUCCAGUGUAGCGGUGAAAUGCGUAGAUAUUGGAAGGAAUAUCAGUGGCGAAGGCGGCCACCUGGUCAAAAACUGACGCUGAGGAGCGAAAGCGUGGGGAGCAAACAGGAUUAGAUACCCUGGUAGUCCACGCUGUAAACGAUGUCGACUAGUUGUUCGUGUCAUAAACGAUGUGAGUAACGCAGCUAACGCACUAAGUCGACCGCCUGGGGAGUACGGCCGCAAGGUUAAAACUCAAAUGAAUUGACAGGGGCCCGCACAAGCGGUGGAGCAUGUGGUUUAAUUCGAUGCAACGCGAAGAACCUUACCAUCCCUUGACAUCCAGUGAAUCUUUUAGAGAUAGAAGAGUGCCUUCGGGAGCACUGAGACAGGUGCUGCAUGGCUGUCGUCAGCUCGUGUUGUGAGAUGUUGGGUUAAGUCCCGCAACGAGCGCAACC
rnacentral:rRNA from 1 species